rnacentral:miRNA from 1 species
AUCUUGUUAAAAUGUGGAAUCUGAUUGAUCAGAUCUGGGGUAGGCCCAAUAUUCUGCAUUUCUAACAAGUUC